GCCGAAAUAGCUUAGUUGGGAGAGCGUUAGACUGAAGAUCUAAAUGUCCCCGGUUCAAUCCCGGGUUUCGGCA
rnacentral:tRNA from 1 species